UACGUAGGGUGCAAGCGUUAAUCGGAAUUACUGGGCGUAAAGCGUGCGCAGGCGGUUUUGUAAGUCUGUCGUGAAAUCCCCGGGCUUAACCUGGGAAUGGCGAUGGAGACUGCAAGGCUAGAAUCUGGCAGAGGGGGGUAGAAUUCCACGUGUAGCAGUGAAAUGCGUAGAUAUCGGGAGGAAUACCGAUGGCGAAGGCAGGUCUCUGGGCUGACACUGACGCUCAUGCACGAAAGCGUGGGGAGCAAACAGG
rnacentral:rRNA from 1 species